CUUACUCUACUAAAUAGCCCAGGCUUCUAAACUUUUCUGGGUCCGCCACUGGCGUUGGCCGAGGUCCUGGCUGUGCUGCUGGCCGUGCUGCUGGGCUUGGCGCAGGAGGUGGUCGCGGCCCUGGCCGUGCUGCGGCAGCCCCAGCCGGCGUGGCACCUGAGCACGACGUCAGCGUCCCUUCUCAGCAACGUGGAGGUGCCCGAGGACAUGCCCGAGCCGCGUCGAGUCGUCCUCCUGCUGCCACUUCGUCGCGUCAAUUCCGACCACCUCGUCCGGCUCGAGGAAGAAGCACUACGGCUGUCGGUACUCGUAGUGUCGCCGACGCUGCCUUCGAUGGUGGCCUCCACGACCCUGCCGCAUUUAGUUGGAGCCAGAACCCCUACGACGAAGACGCCGAUGAUGUUCUGGAGAAUGAAGAAACGGUAGUCAAUUGGGUGAUGAGGAUGCUGACAUGAAUGCCUUCCGAGAUUCUAUCGCAGAUGCUUUGUUUUAUAACCGUAAAGGUGUGAGGGUAUUUGUAAGAACAAAUAUUGGUUGUAAGUGGAUUUGUACGUAACUGUACUCAUGUGCUUUGCAUCUAUGCAUGUCUUCAUGAGUAAUGUGGAGCAACAGUGUGAUCAUGUAUUCA